rnacentral:rRNA from 1 species
UKUAGAGKUKGAUUCUUCGUUUUGGAUUAAUUGCUGGGCGGUGUGCUUAAUACAUUCAAGUCGAAYGAGUUYUUUGUGAUGAUCGGUGYUUGCACCGWGAUUCAACAUGGAACGAKUGGCGGGACGGGUGAGUAACACGUGGGUAACYUGCCCUUAAGUGGGGGAUAACAUUUGGAAACAGAUGCUAAUACCGCAUAGAUCCAAGAACCGCAUGGUUYUUGGCUGAAAGAUGGCGUAAGCUAUCGCUUUUGGAUGGACCCGCGGCGUAUUAGCUAGUUGGUGAGGUAAYGGCUCACCAAGGCGAUGAUACGUAGCCGAACUGAGAGGUUGAUCGGCCACAUUGGGACUGAGACACGGCCCAAACUCCUACGGGAGGCAGCAGUAGGGAAUCUUCCACAAUGGACGCAAGUCUGAUGGAGCAACGCCGCGUGAGUGAAGAAGGCUUUCGGGUCGUAAAACUCUGUUGUUGGAGAAGAAUGGUCGGCAGAGUAACUGUUGUCGGCGUGACGGUAUCCAACCAGAAAGCCACGGCUAACUACGUGCCAGCAGCCGCGGUAAUACGUAGGUGGCAAGCGUUAUCCGGAUUUAUUGGGCGUAAAGCGAGCGCAGGCGGUUUUUUAAGUCUGAUGUGAAAGCCCUCGGCUUAACCGAGGAAGCGCAUCGGAAACUGGGAAACUUGAGUGCAGAAGAGGACAGUGGAACUCCAUGUGUAGCGGUGAAAUGCGUAGAUAUAKGAAGAACACCAGUGGCGAAGGCGGCUGUCKGUCUGUAACUGACGCC